CGGGGCAUAGCGCAGUUUGGCUAGCGCGCCUGCCUUGGGAGCAGGAGGCCGGGGGUUCAAAUCCCUCUGCCCCGA
rnacentral:tRNA from 1 species